rnacentral:rRNA from 1 species
CCUACGGGUGGCAGCAGUGGGGAAUAUUGCACAAUGGGGGAAACCCUGAUGCAGCGACGCCGCGUGAGUGAAGAAGUAUUUCGGUACGUAAAGCUCUAUCAGCAGGGAAGAAAAUGAAGGUACCUGACUAAGAAGCCCCGGCUAACUACGUGCCAGCAGCCGCGGUAAUACGUAGGGGGCAAGCGUUAUCCGGAUUUACUGGGUGUAAAGGGAGCGGAGACGGCAGCGCAAGUCUGGAGUGAAAUCCCAUGGCUUAACCAUGGAACGGCUUUGGAAACUGUGCAGCUAGAGUGCAGGAGAGGUAAGCGGAAUUCCUAGUGUAGCGGUGAAAUGCGUAGAUAUUAGGAGGAACACCAGUGGCGAAGGCGGCUUACUGGACUGUAACUGACGUUGAGGCUCGAAAGCGUGGGGAGCAAACAGGAAUAGAUACCCGAGUAGUC